AGAGAGAGACAUGCGCGCAUAUCAAUAAGCGGAGGAAAAGAAACUAACAAGGAUUCCCCUAGUAACGGCGAGUGAAGCGGGAAGAGCUCAAAUUUGAAAUCUUAAAGGGUUUCCCUUUACGAAUUGUAGUUUAAAGAAGUGUUUUCUGUUGAGGUUUUGGUAAAAGUUCUUUGGAAUAGGACAUCAUAGAGGGUGAGAAUCCCGUAUUUGACCUUUACUUUCAACUUUGUGAUACACUUUCAAAGAGUCGGAUUGUUUGGGAAUGCAGUCCAAAAUGGGUGGUAAAUUUCAUCUAAAGCUAAAUAUUGGCGAGAGACCGAUAGCGAACAAGUACCGUGAGGGAAAGAUGAAAAGAACUUUGAAAAGAGAGUUAAACAGUACGUGAAAUUGUCAAAAGGGAAGCGUUUGACACCAGUGUUGUUUUUCUGAAAAUCAAUUAAAGAACUGUUUAUGCUAAGCUGUUUAGACUUUAUCAGCUAACUGUUUAGUUUUGAGCUUUUCUUUAAUGCACUUUUCAGUUAACAAGUCAACAUCAAUUUCUUUUGCUGUAAAAAAGCUUGAGGAAGGUGGCUUGAGAUCGUCUUAAGUGUUUAUAGCCUCUUGCCUAUGCAGUCGGAGAGAUUGAGGUCUGCAGCGUAGAUCCUUCGGGGCUAAAUGCAUUUGUGCUAAGUUAUAGCAUUUUAUAGACAACUUGUUGACUAUGAUUUGUCUUGUAGCUUACUCGCUUAUGUUAUUUUACCUACGCUUAGGAUGUUGAGCGCAUGUCUCUCUCU
rnacentral:rRNA from 1 species